rnacentral:rRNA from 1 species
CCUACGGGAGGCAGCAGUGGGGAAUAUUGCACAAUGGGGGAAACCCUGAUGCAGCGACGCCGCGUGAGUGAAGAAGUAAUUCGUUAUGUAAAGCUCUAUCAGCAGGGAAGAAAAUGACGGUACCUGAGUAAGACGCCCCGGCUAACUCCGUGCCAGCCGCCGCGGUAAUACGUAGGGGGCAAGCGUUAUCCGGAUUUACUGGGUGUAACGGGAGCGUAGACGGCAGUGCAAGUCUGGAGUGAAAGGCGGGGGCUCAACCCCCGGACUGCUCUGGAAACUGUACGGCUGGAGUGCAGGAGAGGUAAGUGGAAUUCCUAGUGUAGCGGUGAAAUGCGUAGAUAUUAGGAGGAACACCAGUGGCGAAGGCGGCUUACUGGACUGUAACUGACGUUGAGGCUCGAAAGCGUGGGGAGCAAACAGGAUUAGAUACCCCUGUAGUC